GUGCCUGCGUGCGGAGGGCGUCAGCUCGGUGCUGCUGGGGGCUGCCAGCCCUGAGCUCCUCCGUGAGCAGCUGCGGGCCCUGCAGGUGCUGCCCCUGCUCUCCCCCCCCACGCUGCAGGAUCUCCAGGCUCUCCUAGGGGAUGCCUAAGCCCCUCCCCCCUUCGCGCCUGAUUGGCUGCGUCCUGCAUGAGCCCCACCCCUCGGCGGGGCCGGGCCACGCCCCCUAGCUCUCCCCAACCAAUCCCAGUGUGGGAGGGGGGCGGAGCCACUCGGCGCAGCCCCGCCCACCCCACCGUCGGUGACCAAUAGCAAUAAUACCUCCCCUCUCCACGUGGUGUGGGAGGGGUUUCGAAGCACAAGCCCCGCCCCCUUUCCCCCAAUCCACCAAUCGCAGCGCUUCCAGUGAGGGGAGGGGCCCCGGUUGGCUCCUCCCCCCCCGAGCCUCCAUGCCUGGAGGUUGGCAAUAAAGUGGCUUUUCCCA